UUAACUAUUAUAUAGUACUCAGACGACACUAACAUUCAGAGUUUGAAGGCCUCUGGCAGGCGCGCACCAGCGAGAGCCGGUGGCCAGGCCGGAGCCCAGCGGCCUGCCAAAGCAACAAGAGUAUAAAUACAUAGGGUGGAGAUCUACCCCGAAGGGCAUGAACUCUGUAAUGAUCCCUCCGCAGGUUCACCUACGGAGA
rnacentral:misc_RNA from 1 species